GACGAACGCUGGCGGCGUGCCUAAUACAUGCAAGUAGGACGCAGUUGCGAAAGGGAGAGUAACGCGUAGGUAACUGCAGAGUAGAGGGGGAGAACUACUGGAAACGAUAGCUAAUACCGCCUACUAGUAGAUGGACCUGCGUUGUAUUAGCUAGUAGGUAGGGUAAUGGCCUACCUAGGCGACGAUACAUAGCCGACCGGUAGAGGGUAUCGGGCAAACUUGGACUGAGGCACGGCCCAAACUCCCUAGGGAGGGAACAAGAGGGGAACAUCGGAAAAGGGGGGAAACCUGACCGAGCAACGGCGCGGGAGUGAAGAAGGUCUUCGGAUCGGAAAAGUCUGUGGUUAAGGAAGCGGUACUUAACCAGAAAGGGACGGCUAACUACGUGCCAGCAGCCGCGGUAAUAC
rnacentral:rRNA from 1 species